rnacentral:rRNA from 1 species
ACCAAGGCUUUGAUGGGUAGCCGACCUGAGAGGGUGUACGGCCACAUUGGGACUGAGAAACGGCCCAGACUCCUACGGGAGGCAGCAGUAGGGAAUUUUGCGCAAUGGACGAAAGUCUGACGCAGCAACGCCGCGUGAGUGAUGAAGGUCUUCGGAUUGUAAAACUCUGUUAAGUGGGAAGAAAAGUUCCGGGAAUAACACCUCGGGACCUGACGGUACCACUUGAGGAAGCCCCGGCUAACUACGUGCCAGCAGCCGCGGUAAUACGUAGGGGGCAAGCGUUGUUCGGAAUCACUGGGCGUAAAGGGAGCGUAGGCGGGAGAAUAAGUUAGGAGUUUAAUGUACGGGCUUAACCCGUAAUCUGCUCCUAAUACCGUUUUUCUUGAGUAUGGGAGAGGGAGAUGGAAUUCCAGGUGUAGCGGUGGAAUGCGUAGAUAUCUUGGAAGAACACC